AAAUACUUCCAGUUAGUUUUAAUAUGUUAAUUCUUUACAGUUUUCAGCUAGGGCAAAAUAUAGUCUUCAUAUCAUCUUGGUAAAAUAGUCUUCAUAAUCAAUUUAUUUGCAACUGUGUCGGGUAUUUUCAAUAAGAAUUGCAUGGGGAAUAAAAGUAUAAUACUCUGACGAGAAUCUGACAUCGUGUAAAUAUAUCUGUUGCUAAAAUGUUUCUUGUUUGUCUUGUUUCUUUGUUGUUUUCUACACAGAAUUUCAGAUUAUUUCCUUUUUCAUUUUAACAUUUUUCAUAAAUUCUGUCUUAACAAAGUUUCUUUAAUUGUAGAUGGAGAGAAAGAUUGAUAUAUCAUUAUAGCUCGGGGUAACUUUUCGUUGAUUGUUGUAUUAUUCAUGAUUUUAUCUUUGUCACUUUGACGUUCCACCAGGAAGUUGCUGAUAUAGUUGACUGAUAAUAAGUCCUUGAGGGCUGUUAUUGUUACGCAGUCUCUCAUUGGUCAAUAUCGUGCGUUCAACCGUGAAUAUAUCCGUCCCUUUUUGCAUAUGUAGCAGAAGCUGUUAGCUAACUGGCAUUGUCUUCUUGCUUGUAUUGUGUGCAGACGUGUUUUAGAAAUUUUGCUUGAAAUUUAAUUAAAGUUCCACCGUAAUACGAGCACUCAGAUAUAAUAAAAGGAUAUAACAAUGGACAGGAGGAAUGAUUACACGUAUUCAAGUUAUUAUAAGACUCGUUUGACAAAGACUGUGUAUCCAUGUCAUCCGUCUCUAUGGACUGAACAGAAUGCGAAGCACCUGAUUCCAUACGGGAUUCAUUAUAAAGCAUCAGAAACAUCAGAUUCAUCAUUACUGCUUGAGCUAGAAUCAUCUGGAGGUAUUACAUAGUUAACCCUUCGUCUUGGAUAACCUUUGACAGCUUUACGUUCGGGCCAUUCAGCAAUGUUAGCAAGCCUUAUCUGGUCUGCAUGCACUUGAACAACUGAGUUGUCAAGCUGGUUCUUAAUAAGGACCUCCCUAAAGGCAGAACUCGUAAAUUCUGACCCUCGGUCAUGAAUUAUCUGGAGAGGACAUCCAUAUCUAGGAUAUAUCUCAUUCAAAAGUAAGUCUUUUACUGUAUUUGUACUUUUAUCAGGAGCUGCGAAAGCUUCUGGAAAACCACUGAA